GGGAAGGAAGGUAUUGGGGCAAUGUAAACAUGAGGGAGAGAUGAAGAGAGGGGAAAGGAAGGUACUGGGGCAAUGUAAACAUGAGGAAGAGAUGGAGAGAGGGGAAAGGAAGGUACUGGGGCAAUGUAAACAUGAGGGAGAGAUGGAGAGAGGGAAAGGAAGGUAUUGGGGCAAUGUAAACAUGAGGAAGAGAUGGAGAGAGGGGAAAGGAAGGUACUGGGGCAAUGUAAACAUGAGGGAGAGAUGGAGAGAGGGGAAAGGAAGGUACUGGGGCAAUGUAAACAUGAGGGAGAGAUGGAGAGAGGGGAAAGGAAGGUAUUGGGGCAAUGUAAACAUGAGGGAGAGAUGGAGAGAGGGGAAAGGAAGGUAUUGGGGCAAUGUAAACAUGAGGGAGAGAUGGAGAGAGGGGAAAGGAAGGUAGUGAGAAAAAGAAGAGGCGUAUGGAGUGAACACUGUCAGAGAAUAAAACAUGGAGAAAGGAAUGGAGAAACAGAUGAGCGUUUCCCAACAACAGGUCAGGACCUAUUGGGUCACUGCUAUUCCUUUUGGGACACACCUAAACACAAGAUUAAACCCAAACACACUGGUCUGGUUUAUUGGGCGAAUCACAAUAUAUUUCAAAUCAGCUUUGAGCAUUUGGCAGUAUGAAUCUAUAUGAAGCUGCAUGAAGCUGCGUGAAGCAGUGUGAAGCAGUAUGAAGCUGCGUGAAGCAGUAUGAAGCAGUGUGAAGCAGUGUGAAGCAGUGCGAAGCAGUGUGAAGCAGUGCGAAGCAGUGCGAAGCAGUGUGAAGCAGUGUGAAGCUGUGUAAAGCUGUAUGAAGCUGUAUGAAGCUGUAUGAAGCUGUGUAAAGCUGUAUUGGGCUGUAUUAGGCAUUGCGUCGUCCUGAACCUUCUUUCAGCAUUCUAGUUCCAGUCUACCUUCCACUGCUCAGACCUCAGCGGCCCAGUAAAUGGUUGAGAUCAGCACAUCACAACUAUCAAAUAUCAAUGGCUUUACAUGGCUAACAGCGCUAGAGGCUGUUCAUCUGACAGAGAGAAAAAACACUAUAUGACAGCUUCCGGACAGGGAUAAGAGGGAGAGAAGUAAAGAGAGGGAUGGAGAGAUGUGAGAAGUGGAGGAUACAGGCUAGCCAGCAUUCUGAAGACAGGAAAAGAGAGCGACAAACAAUUGAGAGAGAGAGCGAGAGCGAGGGAUCGAGAACGAGGGAGCGAGAGAGAGAACGAGAGAGAACGAGCGAGAGCAAGAAAGAGAGAGAGAGAUUGAGCGCAAGAAAGAGGGAGAGAGAGCGAGAGCAAGAAAGAGAGAGAGAGAGCGAGCGCAAGAAAGAGGGAGAGAGAGCGAGAGCAAGAAAGAGAGAGAGAGAGCGAG
ensembl:lncRNA